CACGUAGGGAGCAAGCGUUGUUCGGAAUUAUUGGGCGUAAAGAGCUCGUAGGCGGUUUGUCGCGUCUGCUGUGAAAACUCGGGGCUUAACUCCGGGCCUGCAGUGGGUACGGGGAGACUAGAGUGCGGUAGGGGAGACUGGAAUUCCUGGUGUAGCGGUGAAAUGCGCAGAUAUCAGGAGGAACACCGGUGGCGAAGGCAGGUCUCUGGGCAUUAACUGACGCUGAGGAGCGAAAGCAUGGGGAGCGAACAGG
rnacentral:rRNA from 1 species